rnacentral:lncRNA from 1 species
GAACACUAAGCAGAAUAAGAAAUAUGUAACGGUGCCGCUUGACACAUACACUGAACACACAACUUCUAAAAAUAAUAUCCCAAAACCCAGAAACCCACGGGCAACACAGGCUAUGAGAAAUAAGUACAGCUCCAAUAUAUGGAGUGUCUAAUACAACGGGGAAAAACAGGAAACAAUACUGCUAACUACAGGAUAGAAUGGACGGAGACUCUCCGGUCUGAGGACGCAGCAGAUAUACCUCAAGUCUCCGAUAUCAAGCUCUAAACUCACUGAUAAUAUGCCUGGCCGGAUGACCUGGAUCUGCACAACAAAAUUGUGCAGAAGAGUAGCAUGAGUACACCACAUCGGUACUCAGUAAAUACCAAGCCUAACCUCGGUUGGGUAGUGACGAGGAAGGUCGAGGCCCUACUGAGAUAAACAUAAGAAUAAAUAUGAAAGGAAUAGACAGUAAGGAAUACAGUGAAUCUCGAGUAUCUAGCAAAACAAUAAGUAAAACGGAACAGCCUACAAAUACAAUUCUACAAGUACAAGAACGAUCACAAAAGGCUAUUUAUCAUUGGGGAUCUCCUGGUGUCCCGAGGAUCUCCUGGAAUCCUCAUCAUAUACACAAGGGAUCUCCAAGUAUCCCGAGGAUCUCCUAGUAUCCUCCAUUUAAUCACUAGGUAUCUCCAAGUAUCUCGUGGAUCUCCUAGUAUCCUCCAGUACAACACGAGGGAUCUCCAAGUAUCCCGAGGAUCUCCUAGUAUCCUCCAAUUAAUCAAUAAUGUGCCGGGGAUCUCUUAGUAUCCCGUUCUUCCAAUUCUCAAAACAAAAUACGAACAUGGGAAGCUUCUGGGAUGCCGUCCCAUAUACCCAAACCGUAAGCACAUCACAAUCGUCAACAUCUAACAAAAAGAAGCUAAGUGCGGACGACAAGUAAAAUCUAGAGUCUAGUAUGCUUCACAAAAAGGCAGAUAUUGCAAUUUAGUCAAAUAGAGCAAAUAAGUUACUAACAUGCUUUCCCUAAGCUGAAACAAGUGAAAUUGCAUUUUUAACAUUUAAAUACGUGAAGAAAUGCAAUCUAAAUAAGUCAAGUAAGGUGAAUUUUCAACAAUUAGCACAAGUACACGCCCGUCACCUCGCGCACAAGGCAUUUAAACAACAGUAAAGAUAUCCUAAGGGGAGAGAUCCCCCACACAAAGUCAGACAAGCUACUUACCUCGAACCGGUAAAAAAUUGCUAAGAAACAAUACCCUUCCCACGAGUAUCUGACUCUGAGUGGCCCAAAUCUAUUGAAACCAAUUAAAUAUUGCAUUUGACAUCACAAGUAACAAAUUCCACCAUUAAAAUUAAAGCUAAGGCGCGAAAAUAGGUAAAAUCACCGAAAUACCCCUCAGUCCAACAUCUCGAAAUCGAAUAAUUUUUAUAUUUUCAGAAACCACGUACUCUCACGAGUCUAACCAUAUAAAAAUCUUCCAAAUCGGAGGUCAAAUGCCCCUUCAAAACUCACUAGUUUGGCCAAAAAAGUUUUACCCAAAUUAUCCAAUUUUUGAUCCUAAAUUUGAAUUUAGAUGAUGGAUUUAACAACAAAAUGUUGGUUUAUAACAAAAAAGGAUCAUAGAAAAGUUACCUAAUAAUCUUCUCUUAAAAACUCACUCAAAAUCGCCUUCUCCCGGCUCCCAAUUGAUUUUUCAACUUUUGAUACUUAACCCUCGAUUUUACUAUUUUUGAACAGGGAUUUUUGCAUUUGUGGCCUAGGAACUACUUCUGCGGUUCCGCUUUUGCGGAAGAACUAACCGCUUCAGUGGUUUCACUUAAAGGAACUGAGUCCGCUCAUGCGAACAAAUAACCGCUUUUGCUGUGCCGCUUAUGCGGAAGUGAGACCACUUCUCCGGUUUCAUGAGGAAUGGCCAAAAUUGCUUCUGCGGUGGGCUAGGCCGCUUCUGCGGCUCCUCUUCUAUGGUUCCCAAACCGCAGAAGCGAAAAUACCAGAAGGCCGAAGAAUUGUAGCUGCACACUUUUGAAAUUUCAUCCAUCGACCAUUCGAAAUCAUCCCUAGACCCCUGGGACCUCAACCAAAAGCCGCAAUACCACCUAUUACAUCACUCAAACUUGCAACAAUUCUUAAGAUACCUAAAACUACACCGAAACCUCGAUCGAAUCAAAGAUUCAAGCCUAAGAACUUCAAGUUCAUUCAAAAUACGCUUUCGAUUCAAAAACUAAUCAACACUCGUCCGAUUCCUGAAACUUUGCACGCACGUCCCAAAUGACAUGACGGUGUUGCAGCAACUUCCGGAAUCCCGUUCCGCCCCUUGGAUCAAAAACUUACUAUCGGACCGGAAACUUCAAAAUUCUAACUUUCGGCAUUUCUAGCCUAAAUGAGCUACGNNNNNNNNNNNNNNNNNNNNNNNNNNNNNNNNNNNNNNNNNNNNNNNNNNNNNNNNNNNNNNNNNNNNNNNNNNNNNNNNNNNNNNNNNNNNNNNNNNNNNNNNNNNNNNNNNNNNNNNNNNNNNNNNNNNNNNNNNNNNNNNNNNNNNNNNNNNNNNNNNNNNNNNNNNNNNNNNNNNNNNNNNNNNNNNNNNNNNNNNNNNNNNNNNNNNNNNNNNNNNNNNNNNNNNNNNNNNNNNNNNNNNNNNNNNNNNNNNNNNNNNNNNNNNNNNNNNNNNNNNNNNNNNNNNNNNNNNNCACAUUCCGAACACGCUCCCAACCCCAAAAUCACCUAACGGAGCUAACAGAACCAUCAGAUUUCCAUUCCGAGGUCAUCUUCACAAUGUUCUGAUUACGGACCAUUUUUCCAAGACUUAAGCUCUAUUUUAGGGACUAAGUAUUCCAAAACACUCCAAAUUCUAUUAUCGAACAUCCCGGCAAACCAAAAUAGCAGAAUUGAACUUAGGGGAAGCAGUUAAUGGGGGAACGGGGCAUAAAUUCCAAAGACGACCGGCUUGGUCGUCACAUUCACAUCCAUAAGAGGCAUUUGACAUGGCGACCCUUUAUCACAUUAUCUGUUUAUUCUAUGCCUAGAAAUGUUAUCAAAGAAAAUAAAUACAACACUUAAUUAUGAGGCAUAGAUACUAAUCUCAUUUGCAAAAAAAGGACCUCAACUAUCUCAAUUAUUAUUUGCUGAUGAUAUUAUUAUUACAUCACAAAUUACUAAUAAUACAUGUCAAUCAAUUGUUAAUACUAUAACUAAGUUUACACAAUAAUCUGGUCAAACUAUAAAUUUUGAGAAAUCAAAAAUUUAUUUUUCAAAGAACUGCAUGCCCAAUAUAAUACAAACUAUUCUAUAAUUAUUCCAUAUGAAUGAAGGAAAAAGUUUUGAGAAGUACUUAAGAUUUCCUAUUUUUAUAAAUAAACCUUCAAAAAGGGAUUACCAAUUCUUAAUAGAUAAUUUCAAAAAUACAUUAGUAGGUUGGAAAACAGCUUUUCUAUCAACGGCAGGAAUGAAUACUUUAAUUAAAUCAACUUUAAACCACCUUCCUAAUCACCUGAUGCAAUAUAUUAAAAUCCCCGCGUAUAUAUUAAUCUAACUAAAUCGAUGUCAACGCAAUUUUCUCUGGGGCAAAACACCACAAAAGAAAAUACUUCAUCUAAUUAAGUGGUCUACAAUCACACAACCUAUAGACCAAGGGAGAUUAGGAAUGCAAAACCUAAGUACUAGAAAAUAGGCAUUACAUGCAAGUCUUGCAUGGAGAUUGUUUAAAAAUCCACACCAACUCUGGGCACAAGUGCUAUUACAUAUUUAUUUAUGCUCCCCACAUUUGAUAAAAACACAAGUUUCUUCUACUUGGCGUAAUAUUAUGAAAAGGAUAGUCCUAGUGUCGCUUAGGGCAUAAAUGGGAUCUUACGACGGGACAACAUGUCAAGUUCUGGAACGAUCCUUGAAUCAACCAAAAUUACAUAAUUCAUAACUAUAUAAAUGGACCUCUACCACGGCAUAAGGAAACAAAAUUAGUCUCAAAUUAUUGUUAUAAUCAUAAUUGGCAUUUAGACACAUUACAUUUCACCUUACCAACACAGCUACAAUCUUCAAUCACUAAUAUUUAUAUAUUCCUGUCGCGCCAAUAACAUGUGAUAAAAUAUAUUGGGCUCUGUCAAAUCAAUGUACCAUUCUUUAAUAAAUACCGCAUACCGUACUAGCUCCUAUAAUUAGAUUUGAAAACUUCACAUUCCAGCAAAAACUUAUUUUUUCUAAUGGCUACUUUGUUAUGGCAGACUCCCAGCGGCUAUGUAUCUUACGCGACUAGGUAUCAUUAAUUCAGCCAUAUGCCAAUAGUGUAAUAUGACCCUUGAAACAAUAAUUCAUUUAUUUCAAAAAUGUCCUAAUGCAAGACAUUUUUGGACUGUCCUUAGGGUCCCAACUACAACUACUAAUUUUCCUAUAUCGCAAGAUAAUAAUAUAAGUUGGUAUAUUUAUACCAACUUAUACACAUCCCUUUAAUAUAAACCCCACACAAAAUUCCUUAUAUAACACUAAUUCUGUUUGCAUUAUGGCAGUUUUGUAUUAUAAAAAAUAAACAAAUAUUAGAACAUCAAAAAAUCAAUCUAAAUAUUCCUUUUAUUAUAAAAAUGGCAACUAGACAUUAUUUCUUAACAAAUCCUUCAGUAAAACAACAUCCCCUGAUACCCAUUUGUAUAAAAUGGCAUCCACCAAUCCAUGCUAUUUAUAAACUAAAUAUCGAUGGGUCUUGCUCCUCUAAUAAGAGAAAAUUUGGUAUUGGUGGUGUCUUUCGAAAUUAAAAAGGCAACUGGAUUAUAAAAUUUGCAGGAAUCGUGAAAGAAGGAACAAGUGCUUAACAACAACAUCUCAAAUCAAUCAACAUUGAGAUGGAUGCACAUGAAAUAAUCGGUAUGCUUAAAUCACCUAUAAUGCAAUACACUAAUAUUAUUAAUGAUUGCACAUUAUUACUCCAACAACUGGAUAGUACACCUCUACAAAGCAUCUACAUAGAGCAAAAUUGUAUUGCAGAUAGUCUAGCUAGACAUGAAACCAUGCAUGCACAUGAGCGAUGCAUACUUCUUAGAAGACCACCAAAUUUUCCAUGCCUUCGUACCAACAAGAUCAUCGUAGCACAUUACAAAGAAGGCUAAAUAAGAAUGCCUCUAGAACUUCAAAACAAACACUCUCUUGUUCAAAUAUUUUGUGUAAUAGUAGUGCUUUAACUACGACUGGACCAACUAUACAAGUAGUGUUUUAUCUACUUUUAACUAUAGUACUAGUCAUGGUUCCCAUACGGGAGGCCUGGUAACGAACUCUAGUUUUGUACAAAUGAUGCCUCUUAUGUAUCUACUUAACAGAUCCUAGGCAUCGACUUCGAGGCCCUUCACCGGCUAGCCCGAGGCCCGGACAGCUAGCCCUUCGGCUUGAACACAACUCUUUUUUAGCUCGCAUUUUAUAUUUUAUCUUCACAUUUCUAGCAUCAACUGCUCUAAUAACUUGCGUAAAAAUAGAUCAUGUAUUUUUAAAGUCUCAUAAAAAAUUUAAUUGUAAUUACCAUUUUCAUAAUAAGCAGUUUGGUGCCCACCAUGGGUCUAAACAUAAUAGUCAUUAUUUUCCUGCUGGUUUCAUUAUAAAAUGCAAGUUACCUUUCACACUUUUUCUUGUCCAAGAUAUUCAAUUUCAGGUUGAAAUGUCUGCCUCAGUGAAUAGAGUCUAGAAUGACAACCUUAAAAACCAAAGAGAAAAUGGUGUGGCUGUUACAGUUGUUGGUACACCACCAUAAAACUCCGAUAACUGUGAUGACCCGACCGUGUUCAUAUGAGUUACCGCCUCCUUUUUCCUGUUUUAUGCUUCCAUAUGUUUCAUUAUAUGUGUUUGGUAAAUUUGAAGUAAUUCGGAUAGAGUUUGGUUAGAAAUGAGACAAUUAGUAUCUUUAAGAGAAGGUUAGUUGGAAAAGUCAAUCGGAUGUUGACUUAUGACUUAGAGCAUUCGGAAAGGAUUUCUGAUGAUACGACUAUUUUUGGGUGAUGAUCUGUGACUUAGGAGUGCAAUCAGAAUUGAAUUUGGAGGUUCAAUUUAGAAUUAGGCUUGAAUUAGCUAAGUUUCAAUUUUGGCAUAUUCCGGUUGAUAGGUGAGCUUUUUAUCUGAGGGUCCGAAUGGAAAUUCGGAGAGUUGCAGUAGCUCCGUUAGGUGAUUUUGGAUAUGCGUGGAAAGUUUCAGGUCAUUCGGAGGUGUUUAGGUCAGGUUUUUGAUCAAAUGCAAGUUUCGUAUGAUAUAGCUUGACUUAGGCUUGAAUCCGUUGUAAUUUGAUGAUUUGGAUGUUUAUGAUAGUGUUUUUAUGCAACGAGCAAGUUUUAAUGAAGAAGAAGAACAUAUCUGUGCGUUUGGUUGAGGUCCCGAGGGCCUCGGGGUGAUAUUGGAUGGCUAACGGAGACUUUUGAAUAACAAAAGUGCAACAGAAAAAUUGCAGUGCAAAUUUGCUCUCUGCGAUCGCGUGCAUGAGGCUGUAAUCGCGUAGAAGGACUGGAGGGGGUGCUCAGAUUUGUUCUAUUUGAUUGCAUGAGGUGGUCCGCGAUCACAUAGGUUUGGGUGAUUGUUCAGCGCGGUCGCGUGAGUGGCUCUUCGAUCGCGUAGAAGGAGGACGCAGUGGUCUGCGAUCGCAAGGGGUCUACUGCAAUCGCGUAAGAGGAAUUUGAGGGCCUCAAUUUUUGGUCUAUGUGAUCACAAGGGAAUUGAUGGGAUCGUAUAGAGGUCGCUACAGUAGUCAGGAAGAACGUUUAAAAACCCUUUGGUCCGCGACCCACAUCAUUUUCCACCAUUUUUACUCCGCCAAGAGAGCUUUCCAGUCGAUUUGAAGAGGGUUUUCGACGGGUAUUGUUUGGAGGUAAGUCUCUCGACUUAGAAACACCAUUUUAUUGAAGAAUCAACACUCAAAUUCAUGAAAGUGGGUUGAAAUUGUGAAGAACUAGGUCUUGGUUUUUGAAAACAAAUUUUUAGGAUUUGAAAGGCAGUUUGAGUUUCGAUUAUGGUAAACUUUAUACGUACGGACUCAUGGCGAGAGGAGGAAUCCGGUAAUAUGACUUUCGUAUUUUUUUGAGAAGUGGGCUCGGGGCUUGGGUUUUACCAACUUCAUGAUUUUUAGUGUUUUUCGAAUAAUUUCUAUUGGGUUAUGUUUCUUUAGGAUAUAAUAAUGUAUUCGUCGUGAUUUUGAUUAGACUCGACGCAUGAGGAGGUUGAUUCAAAAGGAAACAACAUUGCGGACUAGUCUACGGAUGGCUUGAGGUGGAUAAUAGAUGUAGAUGAUGAUCUAAGGGUUUGAAACCCCGAUGUUUCACAUUGUGACACUUUAUUGAGGUGAGAUACGUACUCUACUGUGAGUGCGGGGUCGGUUGUGUACAGGAUUAUGUCUUAGUCCGUUCGAGCAAUGUUAUACUAUGUUAUAUGCCUAGAGUAUGGCUAGUAACAUCCUACUUGGAUUGUUAUUAGCAUAUUUGGGCUGCGACCCAACUAUUUGGACUCCUUAGGGAUUAUUAUCACUGUUUCCAUGACAUUGAGCAUGUUUCCAUGAUAUCAAUCUUAAGUUAAAUACUGUCUAGAAAUGAGUAGAAAUCUUCUAAGGCUUUAAUCGCUUAAACUAUAAUACAUGUUAAAUUGAACCGAAUAUGGUAAUUGAUUGUUCUCGUGUGGCUUGCAUGAAUAUAUAUAAUUGGACCGAUUGUUGACCGGGCUGCACGCCGCAGUGAAUGCUACUAUGUCAUUGAGCUUGGGCUGUAGGAACGUCUCUGGAGUCUGAACCCCUACUGUGAGUGCGGGUACACUAUGGAUCAGGCUGUACACCGCAACAGUCAUGUGCAUUGCAUUGCAUUCAUACAUUGAUAUCUGUCUGUCAUUGAUUUAUUGUUGUUUAUCAUUAAAUGUGCUCAGCGGGUAGUUUCAACUUUACAUUGUGGUAUUCGAAAUUUCUUACUUUCAAGUCAUUAUACAUGUAUAUUACAGCUGAGUUCGAAGUAAUCACUUUACUCCCUGCACCUUGUGUGCAGAUUAAAGUGUUCCGGAGACUUAUCUGAGCAGUCGCUAUCUUCCAGAUUUUAUCAGAGUUGUCAAGGUAGCUGCCUGACGGUCGCAGGACCCGACUUCUCCCCUUUUAUUCAGUUUUGUUUCCCUUUCUAGACAUAUAUAUUUUUCAAAUAUUGUUAAUCAGUUGUUUAGAGGCUCUAGACUCGUGACCCCAGAUUCUGUUGGGAGUGUUUUAUCGGAUACUUCGGUCUAUUCCGUACUGUUUUUAUCAUAUACAUCGACUUAUUAUUUUUAAACUGCUAAAUUCCCUUAAAUUGUGUGUAAUGAGUUAUUAGGUUGGGUUAUGGAGAGAUAAUUGGUCAGGCUUGCUUAGAUGUAUGUUUUGGCGCCAUCACGUAGGAUUUGGGUUGUGACAAGCUGGUAUCAAAGCCUAGGUUACUAGGCCUCAUGAGUCAUCACCCAGUUAGUAGUGUCUCGCAGAUCGGUACGUAGACGUCCGUAUCUAUAUUCAGGAGGCUACAUAACCUUUAGGAAAUACAUCACUUUCUAGAAAUUCUCAUCGUGCGACUUUGUUGGUCCGAGAACUGCAUUUUCUGUAUUUUAUUCUCUCGCAAAUGGCGAGAACUCGUGCUACCUGACGUGGCGAACGACCACUGUUGGCACCCACUAGGGGCCAUGGUCGUGGUUGAGGUGGACCAGCAGGGGUAGCACCUGCAGAUCUACCAGCUGUCCAGGUCCAGGACCAGCCUCUAGUUAUAAAUGCUGCCGCAGCACCUGUUCAGGCACCGGCAGUGCCUAUUGUGAUUCCUUGUCUUUAGGAGGCUUUGGCUCAGAUCUUAUCUGUCUGCAUUGAUCUGGCUCAGGCCGUAUCAGCCACUACUGCAGCAGCUACUUCUCUGACCGGGGGUGGUCAGCAAAUCCCCGCUGCUCGCACACCCGAGCAGGGUGUCCAGGGAUUGCAGACACUGGGAGUUGCCCCAAUUGCCCAGUUGCACCAGUUCCCCCAGUUGCGCCAGUCGCACCAGCUUUGGAUUUUGUGGUUCUGGCUAUGCCAGAUGACGAGUAGCGUCUACUGGGGAUGUUUGGCAAGCUCCAGCCUCUGACAUUUAGUGGUACAGAGGGCGAGGAUGCCCAGAGAUUUCUUGACAAGUUUCAGCAUAUGCUUCGCACUGCAGGGAUAUUUGAAUCGAGUGGAGUGGCUUUUACUACUUCCGGUUCUCGUGGCCUGAAUUUACUUGGUGGGAGGAGUUUGAGAGGCAUAGCCCUGUUGGAGCAGCGCCCCUUACUUGGCAGCAGUUCUUCACUCUCUUUCUGGAGAAGUAUGUACUGUAGUCUCGCAGGGAGGAGCUGUGUUGUUAGUUUUAGUGGUUUGUUUAGGGGACAUGACUGUGGCCCAGUAUGAGUUGAGGUUUACGCAGCUAGCUCGGCAUGCUACUUUGAUGAUCCUGUCUGAUCGGGAUAGGAUUAGGAGGUUCGUGGAUGGUCUCAACUAUCCCAUUUGCAUUAUGAUGACUAGAGAAAGAGUCGUGGCCGCCUCGUGAGGUAGUUGAUAUGGCUCGUCAGAUUGAGACAGAGAGUCGUCGGUAAUGUAUGUAGAGGGAGGCCAAGAGGCCUCAAGGUUCAGGUAAUUCAGCGGUGAUCCAUCUAGGGGCCAGUUCUAGCGUAAGAGAGGUCGUUCCUUCAAACCUCCUCAGUUAGGUCGUACAAAGUCCAGUAGGGUUUCGUCAGGCCGUGGUCAUCAUGGUUAUCAGCAGGGCCAGUCUUCACUUAGCGCCCUUCUAGCUCAGAGUACUACUCCUACUUCUUCAGCCCAGGGUUCAUCUACAUUGAGGGGUUCCCAUCAGUCCCCUUCUUUAGCUCCAGGUUGUUGCUACGAGUGCGGUGAGUGGGGUCAUAUGAGGAGACAGUUUCCUCGUCUCGAUGGUAGACAGUCUCAAUAGAGGGAUCAACCCUCUUCUUCUGCUCCUGUUUCUGCAUAACCCACUCAGUUAGCUAGGAGUGGAGGCCAGGUAGCCAAUGUUCGCCCCAGGGGUGAGGACCGUACUGGUGGUCGUCAGGCUCGAUUCUAUGCUCUUCCAGAUAGGAGGGACGCCAUUGCAUAUGAUGCUAUCAUCACAUGUAUUAUCUCAGUAUGCCACAGGGAUGCUUCUAUCUUAUUUGAUUCAAGAUCUACCUAUUCCUAUGUAUCUUCAUAUUUUGCUAUCAUUUGGGUACGAACCGUGGGUGUCUUGCCUUGCCUGUGCAUGUAUCUACCCCAGUAGGUGAUACUAUUAUUGUGGAUCAUGUAUAUUGAUCGUGUCUGGUGAUUAUUGGGGGUUUGGAGACCCGAGUUGACUUGUUAUUAUUUGGUAUGGUAGAUUUCAACGUGAUUCUAGAUAUGGAUUGGCUAUCCCAAUACCAUGCUAUUCUAGACUGUAAUGCCAAGACAGUUACGUUGGCUAUUCCGGGUAUUCCGAGGAUCGAGUGGCGGGGCAUGACUGAUUAUGUGCCUAGCAGGGUGAUUUCCUUCUUAAAAGCCCAACGAAUGGUUAGGAAGGGUUGUUUAUCGUACUUGGCUUUCGUUAAAGAUAUUGGAAUGGAGACUCCUAGUCCUUAUUCGGUUUUCGUUGUGAGGGAUUUCCCUGAUGUGUUACCAGCGGACCUGCCGGGCAUGCCGCUGGACAGGGACAUUGAUUUCAGUAUUGAUCUGGUGCCGAGCACUCAACCCAUCUCUAUUCCUCCCUAUCAUAUAGCACCAUCAAAGCUAAAUGAGUUGAAGGAGCAGCUUCAGGAACUCAUAGAAGAGGGGUUUAUUCGCCCGAGUGUGUCACCAUGGGGUGCACCAGUCUUAUUUGUAUAGAAGAAGGAUGGCCUAAUGAGAAUGUGCAUUGACUACAGACAAUUGAAUAAGGUGACAGUGAAGAAAAAACAUCCACUACUCCAUAUUGAGGAUUUGUUUGAUCAACUUCAAGAAGCAAAGGUAUUCUCUAAGAUUGACCUCUGAGCAGGCUGUCACCAGCUGAAGAUUAGGGAUUCAUACAUUAUGAAGACGGCUUUCAGGACGAGAUAUGGGCACUAUGAGUUUCUAGUGAUGUCAUUCGGGCUGACUAAUUCCCCACCCGCAUUUGUGCACUUGUUGAACAGUGUAUUUAGUCCGUAUCUGGAUUCUUUUUUAUCGUGCUGAGUUUCUAGUGAUGUCUUUCGGGCUGACUAAUGCCCCUACCGCGUUCAUGCACUUGAUGAACAGUGUAUUCCGGCCAUAUCUAGAUUGAUUUGUGAUCAUGUUUAUUGAGAUAUUUUGGUGUACUCGCGUAAGGAGGAGCACGCGCAACACUUAAGGGUGGUAUUGCAGAGAUUGAGAGAGGAUAAGCUUUAUGAAAAGUUCUCCAAAUGUGAGUUCUGGCUUAGUUCCGUGGCUUUUCUGGGACACGUGGUGUCCAGUGAUGGCAUUCAGGUUGACCCAAAGAAGAUUGAGGCGGUGCAGAGCUGGCCUAGACCGUCCUCAGUUAUUGAGAUUCAGAGUUUCCUCUGCUUGGCGGGUUAUUACCACAGAUUUGUUCAGGGAUUUUCAUCUAUUGCUUCACCUUUGAUGAAGUUGACGCAGAAGAAUGCUCCAUUUAUGUGGUCGGAUGAAUGCAAGGAGAGCUUCCACAUGCUCAAGUGACCUUUGACCACAGCUCCGGUACUAGUAUUUCCAUCAGCUCAGGUUCUUACACGGUGUAUUGUGAUGCUUCGAGAGUGGGGAUUGGUUGUGUAUUGAUGCAAGAGGGUAGAGUUAUUGCUUAUGCUUCUCGUCUGUUAAAGCCCCAAGAGAAGAACUACCCUAUUCAUGGCUUGGAGUUGGCUGCUAUUGUUCAUGCCUUGAAGAUUUGGAGGCAUUAUCUAUAUGGCGUAUCUUGUUAGGUGUUCACAGACCAUCAGAGUCUUAAGUAGAAGGAUUUAAAUGGCUCAAGUUACUCAAGAACUAUGAUAUUACCAUUUUGUAUCUUCCAGGGAAGGACAAUGUAGUGGCCGAUGCUUUGAGCUGGAAGACGAUUAGUAUGGGUAGCUUGGCGUACAUUCCAGUUGGGGAGAUGCCCCUUGCAGUUGAUGUUCAGUCCUUGGCCAAUCGGAUGGUGAUGAUAGAUAUUUCUGAACCCAGUCAGGUGUGGCUUGUGUGGUUUCCCGAUCUUCUUUGUAUAACUGCAUUAGAGAGCGCCAGUAUGAUGACCCGCAUUUACUUGUCCUGAAGGACAGGGUCCAACAUUAUGAUGCCAGAGAUGUGACCAUUGGUGAUGAGGGUGUGUUGCGGAUGCAGGGCCGAAUUUGCGUGCCCAAUGUGGAUGGGCUCUGGGAGUUGAUAUUAGAGGAGGCCUACAACUCGUGGUAUUCAAUUCAUCCGAGUGUCGCAAAGAUGUACCAGGAUUUGAGACAUCAUUAAUGGUGCAGGAGAAUGAAAAAUAAUAUUGUGAAUUAUGUGGCUCGGUGUCUCAACUGUCAGCAGGUCAAAUAUGAGCACCAAAGACUCGGUGGUAUACUUCAGCGGAUGGAUAUUCCGUAGUGGAAAUAGGAGAAGAUUACUAUGGAUUUUUUGAGUGGUUUCCCUCAUACCUUGAAGAAGUUUGAUUCGAUUUGAGUGAUUGUGGAUAGGCUGACCAAGUCCACGCACUUCAUUCCGGUAUGUACUACCUAUUCUUCGGAGAAGUUAGCAGAGAUUUUCAUCCGGGAGAUUGUAUGGUUGCAUGGGGUUCCAGUUUCCAUUAUCUCAGAAAGGGGCACUCAGUUCACUUCCCAGUUCUGGAGGACUUUUCAUCAGGAGUUGGAGGUUCUUGGGCUGAGUUCUUGCCACUUGCAGAGUUUGUUUCUAACAACAGCUAUCAAUCCAACAUUCAGAUGGCGCCAUAUGAGGCCUUAUAUGGGAGACGGUUAGAUCUAUGGUUAGUUGGUUUGAGCCCGGCGAGGCUAGGUUAUUGGGGACAGAGUUAGUUCAGGAUGCCUUAGAGAAGGUGAACGUGAUACAGGAGAGACUUCAUACAACUCAGUCGCGCAUAAAGAGUUAUGCGGACAGGAAGGUUCGAGAUGUAUCUUAUGCGGUGGGAGAGAAGGUCUUGUUGAAGGUUUCGCAUAUGAAAGGCGUUAUGAGGUUUGGAAAGAAAGGGAAGCUGAGUCCACGGUUCAUUGGACCUUUUGAGAUACAUAGGAGGAUUGGGAGGUGGCCUAUAUGCUUGCUUCUCCAUCCAGUUUUUCGGGAGUGCAUCCAGUGUUCCAUGUGUCUAUGUUCCGGAAGUAUGUUGGGGACCCGUAUCCUGUAUUAGACUUCAGCACCAUUCAGUUGCAUGAGAACUUGACCUAUGAUGUGGAGCCGGUGGCUAUUUUGGGUCAUCAGGUUCGAAAGAUACGAUCAAAGCACAUAGCUUUGGUGAAGGUACAAUGGAGAGGUCGGCAUGUGGAGGAGGCCACUUGGGAGACCGAGCAGGAGAUGUUGAGCAAAUAUCCUCACUUGUUUGAUUUUCCAGAUAUGUUUCUUGACCCAUUCGAGGUCUAGCAUUUGUUUUUGUUGAGGAGGAUGCGAACCCGACCCGUCGUCACGUGAGUUACCGCCCCGUUUUCCCUGUUUUAUGCUUCUAUUUGUUUCCUUAGAUCUGUUUGGUGAAUUUGAAGUAAUUCGGAUAGAGUUCGGUUAGAAAUGAGACAAUUAGUCUCUUUUAGAAAAGGUUUUUUGGAGCGGAUGUUGACUUAUGAGUUAGAGGGCUCGGAAUAGAUUUCCGAUUAUACACAUAGUUUUGGGUGAUGAUUUGUGACUUAGGAGUGAAAUCAGAAUUAAAUAUGGAGGUUCGGUGUAGAAUUAGGCUUGAAUUGGCUAAGUCUGAAUUUUGGAGAAUUCCGGUUGAUAUGUGAGAUUUUGAUCCGAGGGUCGAAAUAGAAUUAUGAGAGUUGCAGUAGCUCCAUUCGAGGAUUUUGGAUAUGCGCGCAAAGUUUUAGGUAAUUCAGAGGUGUUUAGGUCGGGUUUUUGAUCAAAUGCAAGUCUCGAAUGAUUUAGCUUGACUUAGGCUUGAAUACAUGGUAAUUUGAUGAUUUGGAUGUUUAUGAUAGUGUUAUUAUGCUACGAGCAAGUUUGAAUGAAGUAGCAGAAUGUAUCUGUGCGCUUGGUCGAGGUCCCAAGGGCAUCAUGGUGAUUUCGGAUGGCUAACGAGGACUUUUGAAUUAGAAAAGUGCAGCAGAAAAAUUGUAGAGCAGAUUUGCUCUCUACGAUCGCAAGCCUGGGGCUGCAAUCGUGUAGAAGGCCAUGAGGGGGUUCUUAGAUUUGCUCUAUGCGAUCCUGUGAGGUGGUUAGGAAUUGAGUAGGUCGGGGUGAUUGCUAAGCGCGGUCGCUUGAGUGACUCUACGAUCGCGUAAAAGGAGGACGCAGUGCUCUGCGAUCGUAAGGGGUCUCCUGCGAUCGCGUAAGAGGAAUUUGAGGGCCUAGAUUUUUGGUCUAUGCGAUCACAAGAGAAUUGAUGCGAUCGCAUAGAGGUCACUACAGUAGUCGGGUAGAAUGAUUAAAAAACCUUUUGUCCACGACCCACAUCAUUUUUCCACCAUUUUUACUCCGCCAAGAGAGCUUUUUGGUCGAUUUGUAGAGGGUUUUCAACGGGUAUUGUUUGGAGGUAAGUCUCUCGACUUAUAAACACCAUUUUAUUGAAGAAUAAACACUCAAAUUCUUGAAUGUGGGUUGAAAUUGUGAAGAACUAGGGCUUGGUUUUUGGAAAUAAAUUUUUAGGCUUUGAAAGGCCAUUUGAAUUCCGAUUUUGGUAAACUUUAUACGUACGAAUUUGUGGGGAGACGAGGAAUCCGGUGAUAUGACUUUCGCAAUUUUUUGAGAAGUGGGCCCGGGGCUAGGGUUUUACCAACUUCGUGAUUUUUACUAUUGUUCGAGUAAUUUCGAUUAGGUUAUGAUUCUUUAGCAUAUAAUAAUGUAUUUAUUGUGAUUUUGACUUGAUUCGACGUGGGAGGAGGUCGAUUCAAAAGGAAAGAGCAUUGCAGACUAGUCUACGGCCGGCUUGAGGUGGGUAAUAGAUGUUGAUGAUGACCUGAGGGUUUGAAACCCUGGUGUCUCACAUUGUGACGCUGUUUUGAGGCGAAACACGUUGCUCUACCGUGAGUGCGGGAUCGUUUGUCGCCGGGACUAUGGCUUGGUCCGUCUGAGCAAUGUCUAUGCUGUGUUAUAUGCCAAGAAAUUGGCUAGUAAACAUCUUCACAUUGUGACGCUGCAUUGAGGUGAGACACGUACUCUACUGUGAGUGCGGGGUCAGUUGUGGACGGGACUAUGGCUUAGUCCAUCCGAGCAAUGUCUAUCCUAUGUUAUAUGCCUAGAAAUUGGCUAGUAAACAUCAUACUUGGAUUGUUAUGAGUAUAUUUGGACUACGAGCCAACUAUUUGGAUUUCUUAGGGAUUAUUAUCACUGUUUCCAUGAUAUUGAGCAUGUUUCCUUGAUAUCAGUCCUGAGUUAAAUACUGUAUAGAAAUGAGUAGAAAUCUUCUAAGGCUUUAAUCACUUACACUAUAAUGCAUGUUAAAUGGAACACAAUAUGAUAAUUGAUUGUGCCCAUGUGGCUUGCAUGCAUAUAUAUAUAAUUGGACUGAUUGUGAACCGGGCUGCAUGCCACCGCAGAUGCUACUAUGUCAUUGCGCUUGGGCUGUAGGAGCCCCUCUGAAGUCUGAACCCCCACAAUGAGCACGAGUACCUAAUGGAUCGGGCUGUACGCCGCAGCGAUCUUGUGCAUUGCAUUUCAUUCAUACAUUUAUAUCUAUUUGUCAUUGAUUUAUUGUUGUUUAUCGUCAAAUGUAAGAGGGUAGUUUCAGCUUUACAUUGUGGUAUUUCGGGAUUUCUUACUUUCAAGUCAUUAUAAAUGUCAGUUACUGCUGAGUUGGAAGUACUCACUUUACUCCCUGCACCUUGUUUACAGAUAUAAGGUGUUCCAGAGACUUAGCUGAGCAGUCAUUGUUUUCCAGAGUUUUAUCAGAGUUUCUUAGGUAGCUGCCAGACAUUCGCCGACUUGACUUCUCCCCUUUUAUUUAGUUUGUUUCCGCUUUCUAGACAUAUAUAUUUUUCGAAUAUUUUUACUAAGUUGUUUAGAGGCUCUAGACUCGUGACCCUAGAUUCUAUUGGGAGUGUUUUGUCAGAUACUUCGGUCUGUGCUGCACUGUUUUUAUCAUAAACAUCGACUUAUUAUUGUCAUACCUUCUUGUUGCGCGCCUUACCCCGGGGUAUUAAAUGCACAAGGGAUUUUUUCCAGUUUAAGUGAAAAUAUUCGAAAUGAGAUUAUUCAUUUAAUUUCAGAGUUGCCACUUGGUAAAUGUUUGGCUUUUGGUGUCCCAAAUCACCGUUUUAUUUCGAAUCCCAAUUCGAAGAAAAUAUUCGACUUUCCAAAUGAAGUCUGCAAACCAGAAAUUCUAAGUAAGGAAUUCUGUUGACCUGAGGUAAGGUGUUAGGCACCCACGAAUCCUGUGGUUCAAGCAUGGUCGCUUAAAUUGUUAUAGAGCCUAAAUAUCUGAUUUUAAUACAUGUUAAAACUUAUGUGCCAAUUUUAACGUUUAACCGCUUUUAUUUAUUAUUUUUAAUGGAAUUGCAACGUAGUGAGAAUGCAUCUCGGACUGCGUCACAUAAAUGUAUCCGUAAUUUUUGAUGUGUUCCGACUUCAUUGAGAUAUGGAUUUGGGUCACAUAAAUGUGUACCCGAAUUUAGGAAUGUAAUUUUAUUAGAAUAGCGUCUAAUAGAGUCUAGCGCGUUAUUAACUUCUGGGAGGGCCGUGAAAUUGGCUAAACAGUCCAUCCCUAAAUCUAAAUUCUUUUUUUAAUACUUAUACAUUUAUGAUGGCCCCGGUAACUUGUGCAUUUUAUUUGGCAAGGCUGAUCUCAAUUUUAUUGAAGGAAAAACAUAUAGCUAAGUGAACUACAGAUCUGCAGAUUCAAGACUAAUUCGAAAUUUAAUGUCACAACUAUAUCAUGGGAACUAUACUUAUAACUGUGAUAAUUUAAUUACGUGCAUAAAGCAAACUACGACACUUGAAAGUUGCUUAAUUCGUAUGUGAAACACGGUUUUACAAUUAUUGGAAGGAUAUAAAUAAAUCACUAAAAACCAAUUAUGUUAGUCAAAUUAUCAGCUGCCGGUACGCAACAAAGAAAACACGAAACAAACAGAUGAAAUUAAGACCCAUACUCAUGCAACUCAAGACAGAAGCUACUGGGCUAUUCCUUUGCACUAAAAGAGAAGCUGUUUAACUAUACUGAUGAGCUCGAUCGAACAGAGAUAAAAUGAACUGGAAAUCUACGUCAAAAGAAAAACACAGAAUUUCCUAGAAGAAAAUUUGGUGAAUCAAGUAAAACACCAAAAGCCAAUACCACGUUUAUCACAAUUAUUAUAUUAUAGCAAAUCCAAACCUCCACAUGGAAUACAACAUUAAUGACAUAAAUAGACACACUCGAUAGUUAAACUAAAGAACACAUAAAAGAAAUAUGACAGAGAAAACAGGUAGCUGUUAUGAUUUCUUCAAAACUUAAUUACAUUUUUUCAGAUUCACGCUUCAUACAUCAGUUAAGAGCCAAGGAAAUACCUGGAAAUGAUAGUGAAUGAGGGUAAGAUUCAGCAGUAGCAACAGUAGGGUUCAACAGUAAAACAAACCAAGAGAAUCCAGUUUUUAGUCAAAUUCAACCAAGUAGACCGACCAAAUGAUACUUAGUAAUCAAAAUACAAGCGGAACUUGAACCAAUCACUUGAAAACCAACCAAUUCAAAUCAUUUUUAACCUCCAAAUUAUGUCAGAACCUUAAAGAAGCAGAAAAUUUAAACAGAUUAAUGAACUUGUAUUUUUGUAGUAUUUUCAGAACCUCUCUCCUCUUUCAAGAAUGUCCUAAGCUCUCACUUGUCUCUCUGUUGAAAUCUUUUCUCUCUAUAUUUUUUACUUAACCGAUUUUUUCUGCUUCUAAUGUGGAAUGACCCUUCCUUUUAUCUAAACAAGACCUACUUUCAUUAUUAUUCCUACCCUUUCUUUUUAUUAUUACCCUUCACCUUUUCAGUUUCUAUAUUCCCUCUCCUAUGUAUAUUCUCUUUGCUUUUUAUCAUUACUUAACUAUUCCUAAUUCU